rnacentral:rRNA from 1 species
GACGGAGGGUGCUAGCGUUGUUCGGAAUUACUGGGCGUAAAGCGCACGUAGGCGGCUUUGUAAGUUAGAGGUGAAAGCCCGGGGCUCAACUCCGGAAUUGCCUUUAAGACUGCAUCGCUAGAAUUGUGGAGAGGUAAGUGGAAUUCCGAGUGUAGAGGUGAAAUUCGUAGAUAUUCGGAAGAACACCAGUGGCGAAGGCGACUUACUGGACACAUAUUGACGCUGAGGUGCGAAAGCGUGGGGAGCAAACAGG